GCUUCAUUAUGAAGAGCUGGACGAUGAUGAAGAGUAUGAAGAUGAGGAAGGACACAAGGGUGAGCAGUAGAAUGCCAUUUUUCCUCCUUAUCACCCCCACAUACUGAAGACUGGCUUCUGUACGGAAAAUGAAAUGAAUUUAGACAGUUCAAGGUGUGAAGAAUGCAAAGGGGUGUUUUGAUCAUAGUCCUAAAAAUGGACCACAGAGGAGAAACUGAAGUCACAGGACUUGUGCAAGAGAUGAUGAGGGUCUGGACCAGGGAUUGCAGUGAUAGUCGACAAAAUUCUGGAAGAGGAUACUCAAAAGUCUUUGGAGAUGGACUGAUUUUCUAUGUGUUUGUGUGUACACACAUACACAGGAAUGAAGGAUGACGCCAAAAUUUGGGGCCUGUGUGAUCAUUUGGAUGAGGUGAUUUUGUGGGAAAAGGUGCUGUUUGGUUUUUAGUGAUGUUGAGUUCAAGGAGAUGGCAGAAAAUCCAGCAACAGGAAUAUAGGAGAUGGAAUGAAACAGCAAUUAAUUCUCAGGCAUGUUCUGGAAGUUUAAGUAAUAGGAAAUCAAGAUUCUUCAUUUGGAAUACUAAAUAAAUGAAGUAAAUCAUUUUGAAGAGGGUCUGAUCUAUUCCUGCUCUGUUCUCCUUCUCCAAGCAUCACACUUCCACAAGCAUCUAAGUGUGGAUUUUUCAAAGGAAGACACUGCUCACAUCCCCAGAUAUGGUGCUUGUCUGAUCUUUAUUUUCCCAGGUCCUUCCAUGCAGAGUGUGGGAAUGAAAGGGGUCAGAAUCCUUACUUGUAAAUGUGUUUUAAAGCAUCCUCAGUUAAUCAAACUUUUUAAACUUAUUGGAUGAACAAAACAUGUGUAAUGCUGGUGCAGUCACUCUGGAAAACAGUAUGGAGAUUCCUCAAAAAGUUGAAAAUAGAGCUACCAUAUGAUCCAGCAAUUGCACUACUGGGUAUUUACCCCAAAGAUACAAAUGUAGGGAUCCGAAGGGGUACGUGCACCCCGAUGUUUAUAGCAGCAAUGUCCACAAUAGCCAAACUGUGCAAAGAGCCAAGAUGUCCAUCAACAGAUGAAUGGAUAAAGAAGAUGUGGUAUAUAUAUAUGUAAUGGAAUAUUAUGCAGCCAUCAAAAAAUGAAAUCUUCCCAUUUACAACGGCAUGGAUGGAACUAGAGGGUAUUAUGCUAAGGGAAAUAAGUCAAUCAGAGAAAGACAAUUAUCAUAUGAUCUCACUGAUAUGUGGAAUUUGAGAAACAAGGCAGAGGAUCAUAGGGGAAGGGAGGGAAAAAUGAAACAAGACAAAACUAGAGAGGGAAACAAACCAUAAGAGACUCUUAAUCUCA